rnacentral:rRNA from 1 species
AAUCCAUAGGUUAAUGAGGCGAACCGGGGGAACUGAAACAUCUAAGUACCCCGAGGAAAAGAAAUCAACCGAGAUUCCCCCAGUAGCGGCGAGCGAACGGGGAGGAGCCCAGAGCCUGAAUCAGCAUGUGUGUUAGUGGAAGCGUCUGGAAAGGCGCGCGAUACAGGGUGACAGCCCCGUACACAAAAGCGCAUGUGCUGUGAGCUCGAUGAGUAGGGCGGGACACGUGGUAUCCUGUCUGAAUAUGGGGGGACCAUCCUCCAAGGCUAAAUACUCCUGACUGACCGAUAGUGAACCAGUACCGUGAGGGAAAGGCGAAAAGAACCCCGGCGAGGGGAGUGAAAAAGAACCUGAAACCGUGUACGUACAAGCAGUGGGAGCACCCUUUGGGGUGUGACUGCGUACCUUUUGUAUAAUGGGUCAGCGACUUAUAUUCUGUAGCAAGGUUAACCGUAUAGGGGAGCCGCAGGGAAACCGAGUCUUAAUUGGGCGUUAAGUUGCAGGGUAUAGACCCGAAACCCGGUGAUCUAGCCAUGGGCAGGUUGAAGGUUGGGUAACACUAACUGGAGGACCGAACCGACUAAUGUUGAAAAAUUAGCGGAUGACCUGUGGCUGGGGGUGAAAGGCCAAUCAAACCGGGAGAUAGCUGGUUCUCCCCGAAAGCUAUUUAGGUAGCGCCUCGUGAAUUCAUCUCCGGGGGUAGAGCACUGUUUCGGCUAGGGGGCCAUCCCGGCUUACCAACCCGAUGCAAACUGCGAAUACCGGAGAAUGUUAUCACGGGAGACACACGGCGGGUGCUAACGUCCGUCGUGAAGAGGGAAACAACCCAGACCGCCAGCUAAGGUCCCAAAGUCAUGGUUAAGUGGGAAACGAUGUGGGAAGGCCCAGACAGCCAGGAUGUUGGCUUAGAAGCAGCCAUCAUUUAAAGAAAGCGUAAUAGCUCACUGGUCGAGUCGGCCUGCGCGGAAGAUGUAACGGGGCUAAACCAUGCACCGAAGCUGCGGCAGCGACGCUUAUGCGUUGUUGGGUAGGGGAGCGUUCUGUAAGCCUGCGAAGGUGGCCUGUGAGGGUUGCUGGAGGUAUCAGAAGUGCGAAUGCUGACAUAAGUAACGAUAAAGCGGGUGAAAAGCCCGCUCGCCGGAAGACCAAGGGUUCCUGUCCAACGUUAAUCGGGGCAGGGUGAGUCGACCCCUAAGGCGAGGCCGAAAGGCGUAGUCGAUGGGAAACGGGUUAAUAUUCCCGUACUUGGUGUUACUGCGAAGGGGGGACGGAGAAGGCUAUGUUGGCCGGGCGACGGUUGUCCCGGUUUAAGCGUGUAGGUGUGUGUUCCAGGUAAAUCCGGUUCACUUUAACACUGAGGCGUGACGACGAGGCACUACGGUGCUGAAGCAACAAAUGCCCUGCUUCCAGGAAAAGCCUCUAAGCAUCAGGUAACAUCAAAUCGUACCCCAAACCGACACAGGUGGUCAGGUAGAGAAUACCAAGGCGCUUGAGAGAACUCGGGUGAAGGAACUAGGCAAAAUGGUGCCGUAACUUCGGGAGAAGGCACGCUGACACGUAGGUGAAGUGAUUUACUCAUGGAGCUGAAGUCAGUCGAAGAUACCAGCUGGCUGCAACUGUUUAUUAAAAACACAGCACUGUGCAAACACGAAAGUGGACGUAUACGGUGUGACGCCUGCCCGGUGCCGGAAGGUUAAUUGAUGGGGUCAGCGCAAGCGAAGCUCCUGAUCGAAGCCCCGGUAAACGGCGGCCGUAACUAUAACGGUCCUAAGGUAGCGAAAUUCCUUGUCGGGUAAGUUCCGACCUGCACGAAUGGCGUAAUGAUGGCCAGGCUGUCUCCACCCGAGACUCAGUGAAAUUGAACUCGCUGUGAAGAUGCAGUGUACCCGCGGCAAGACGGAAAGACCCCGUGAACCUUUACUAUAGCUUGACACUGAACAUUGAGCCUUGAUGUGUAGGAUAGGUGGGAG